CUAUCGCGCAAUAGCGGCGGGCCGCGGCCGGCAUAUUGGAUUGGGAGGAAAAAAGAACUCCCAAUCUGAUCUUCCAUCGAACGGAGAGAUAAGACGGGUAGAGGGAGGGCCACGGUGCCGGUGGAUGGGAGACUCAGAUUUCCUCCCCAGAGGACCCACGGAGCCUUAAUCACUCUCUCAGGAAAUGAAGAUUAGGUUGCCGUACAGAUCCCGCGAUGCAUUUCCCAUCGUCGUGAUCGCCAUUUUUUCACGGGUCUUUUGUCGUUCGUGAGCAACAUUUCCACACACCACAAUGAAACUAUCGGAACUGGAAUGGUGUUCAAUUUGAGCAGUGGCUUCAAAAUGCUCUUCAAACUCACACGUGUGUCUUCCUUAAACCUGCAAUGUCGCAAAUGAUUUUGAAGUAUCGUGUAUAGGAUUAAGUCCAUUAUGCCCGCGCUCGAUGGUCAUAAUUUAUUGCAAGGUAUUAAAUUGAAAUCAAGGGGUGUUAAAAUAUCCAAAGUGUGUCUUUAUUAAACCUGUAGAUAACCUUUUAUGGUUAUGAAGAAAAAAAAUUGGCAUCAACUUUCUUAAAACACUAAUCCCGUAUUGUUCAUUCCUAGUGUUCAUACAAACACAAAUAAACAGACAAA